rnacentral:rRNA from 1 species
GACGAACGCUGGCGGCGUGCUUAACACAUGCAAGUCGAACGAAAAGGCCCUGCUUUUGUGGGGUGCUCGAGUGCCGCACGGGUGAGUAAAACGUGAGUAUACUGCCCUUGACUUUGGGGUAUCUUCAGGAAAAUGGGGAUAUUACCGGAUAUGAGCUCCUGCUGCAUGGUGUGGGUUGGUAAGAUUCGGCGGUUGUGGCUGGAUUCGCGGCUUAUCCGCUUGUUUGUGGGGUAGUGGCGUACAAAGGCUUUGACGGGUAGCCGGCCUUAGAGGGUUACCGGCCACAAUAGGACUGAGAGAGGGACCAGACGCCAACGGGAGGCAGUAGUGGGGAAUAUUGCACAAUGGGCGGGAGCCAGUUACAGAAACGCCGGGUGCGGAAUGACGGCCUACUGGUUAUAAACCGCUUUCGACUGUGACGAAGCGUUAGUGACGGUAAUGGGUAAAGAAGCACCGGCUAACUACGUG